rnacentral:rRNA from 1 species
GAUGGGAAACAGGUUAAUAUUCCUGUACUUGGUGUUACUGCGAAGGGGGGACGGAGAAGGCUAGGCUAGCCGGGCGACGGUUGUCCCGGUUUAAGCGUGUAGGGGGUGUGACCUGGUAAAUCCGGUUGCAUAUCAACCCUGAGGCGUGAUGACGAUGCACUACGGUGCAGAAGUAGUUGAUGCCCUGCUUCCAGGAAAAGCCUCUAAGCUCCAGGUAACAUUGAAUCGUACCCCAAACCGACACAGGUGGUCAGGUAGAGAAUACCAAGGCGCUUGAGAGAACUCGGGUGAAGGAACUAGGCAAAAUGGUGCCGUAACUUCGGGAGAAGGCACGCUGGC